GAGUUGAUUAUGUGCUUACGAGUCUCUUUGCACUAUGCUUAGGACCUGGAUACCUGCACCUACCUAAAAUGUUUUAGGGAACUAAGCAAAAUGUACUUAGCAUGCAGCACCCAGCACCUGCUUAGUACAGGUCCUUAGCCUUUCUCUCUUUGCUUUCCUGGGAAUUUCUGCAAAUCUCACACUUCCUUGGGGAGUAAUUUUUGCCUUCGGCUUCCUUUCCCAUCUCCUGCAGUGUCUCCUCGCUUUAAGUCUGUAACAGCACUUCAGUCGUGCAUCUGCCCACAUCUCCUGCAUCGUGCUCCUCAAGUGCAAGAUCCAGGAGGAUGGCAAGAGAGGCCACUUAGCGAAGUCACAUAUCUCAUCCUUUUGAGGGUUUCCACUGAAAACAGCCACCUACACUCCUCACUUCUUCCCGAAGAUGGUUACUUCUUAGAGCUUGAAAUUACAGGAUCCAAAUGCUAAACAGAGCCUGGUUCAGAGAUAAAAAGCAGAAUGUCUGAGUGCCAGAGAAGCCAGGAGACAUGCGCCUUCAGCUACCCAAGGACUGGGAUCUCAUCUCUGAAAAAGAAGAAAAAAAAAAAAGAAAA